GUUCAUGUGAUGAUUGAUUUCGGUUCAACUGCUGAGUGAUUCAGAAAUGAACUAAAAAUAACUCUGACCAGA